AUGCCUUCCUCCCCCGCCCCAUCCCCCGUCGUCGUCCUCAGCGACGACGAGAGCGGCGACGACGGCGCCGCAUCCGGCGCCCCCUCGAGGUCCGCCGCCGAGCGCAUCGCCUCCACCCUGACCACCCAGGCCGCGGUCGACGCCCUCUGCAAGAACCACGACGUGCCGAGGGGGUUCGCCGCGCGCCCCGCCGGCGAGCUGCGCGCGUGCAGCGCGCCUCCGCGGGGGUCCGUCUGCGUGUACGCCCACAUGCUGGAGACCGGGGUGCGCUUCCCGCUGCACCCCUUCUUCUGCGACGCGCUCAACCACUUCGGCCUCGCGCCGGGCCAGCUCUCCAUAAACGGGUGGCGCGUCCUGGUGGGGUUCGUGGCGAUCUGCCUCGAGGCCGGCGUGCCGCCGUCCAUGGCUCUGUUCCGGCACUUCUUCAAGCUGUACAACCGGAACGACUGGUACUACUUCCGCUGCAGGGCGUUCGCCGGAGUGCUCUUCACUGGCACGAGCUAUUCGCAAUCUGAGAGGGAGUGGAAAGGGGCUUUCUUCUUCCUGACGUCGCCGGAGUCAUGGCGCUGCCCUGUGCGCUGGGGCGAGCCGCCGUACAAGAGCUCCGCCGCAGGUCCGGCGCUCACGAGCCACCAGAAGCAGUCGGCGGAAAAGCUGCUAGCCGUACACGGCACAGCGCGUGAUCUCCGGGCUUACCUCCGGCAGACGGAUCUUGCUGCGGCCUUGUCCGCGGACCUCGCCGGCGCACCGCCACCACCUCAGCCUUCUCCCCGUUCUACUGUUGCCAAAGGGGUGGAUCCACCCGUCCGCGACAUGACUGACAAAAUGCCAGUGGAGAAGACGGCGGCGCCGGCGGCACGGACGGAGCAGGUGAAAAGCGAGGCGCACGGCGACACGCUUCCCAUGUCCGGGAAGAAGAGGAGACGGGAGGAGGGGACUGCAACAAACGGGCAUCAUUGCGCCGCCCCAGUGUCCACCCCGCGUGCCCCGUCGGGCUUUGACCCGCGGUCACCGCGCUCCCCCGUACCCGAGACACACGACGGCGACGGCGCCGGCUGGAAGGCCGCGCAGAAGGUUCUAGAGGGCCUCGUCACGCCGUCGCGGGAGCGCCACUUCGCGGCGUCCAAGCCCUCCGACCUCCUGGCGUCGAGCUACGUUGCAGUGCUCCAGGCCGCGAACUACGCGACCUUCUCCCUGAACUACGCGCUGGAGCUGGACGAAAAGGUUGUGGCGCGCGAGCGCGACAACCUGGCGCUGUGGGAGCAAGUGGAGAAGGAGAAGGCGGCGAGGCAGGCGGCGGUGGCGGAGCUCGAAAAGGUGAAGGCAGAGCUGGAGAUUGCCCAGGCCACGGCGGUGCAGCAGUUCCUGGGGUCCGGGGAGUACACGCGGCGGCUGGCCGAGCAUGCGCUGCCGGCGUACCUGCGCGGCGCAGAGGAGAUGAAGCGCGUCGCGCUCCGGCACUACCCGCACGUCGACGCCGGCAAGCUGGAGCUGCCGCUUGAUUAG
rnacentral:rRNA from 1 species